GGCGAUGUAGCUCAGCUGGUUAGAGCACGGAACUCAUAAUUCCGGGGUCGGUGGUUCGAGUCCACCCAUCGCCA
rnacentral:tRNA from 1 species